UACGAGGGGGGCGAGCGUUGUUCGGAAUUAUUGGGCGUAAAGGGUGCGUAGGUGGCCAACUAAGUCAGACGUGAAAUCCCUCGGCUUAACCGGGGAACUGCGUCUGAUACUGGAUGGCUUGAAUCCGGGAGAGGGAUGCGGAAUUCCAGGUGUAGCGGUGAAAUGCGUAGAUAUCUGGAGGAACACCGGUGGCGAAGGCGGCAUCCUGGACCGGCAUUGACGCUGAGGAGCGAAAGCCAGGGGAGCAAACGGG
rnacentral:rRNA from 1 species